ensembl:miRNA Mir328 microRNA 328
CUGUCUCGGAGCCUGGAGCGGGGGGGCAGGAGGGGCUCAGGGAGAAAGUGUCUACAGCCCCUGGCCCUCUCUGCCCUUCCGUCCCCUGACUCCAAAU